UACGGAGGGGGCUAGCGUUGUUCGGAAUUACUGGGCGUAAAGCGCACGUAGGCGGCUUUUUAAGUCAGGGGUGAAAUCCUGGAGCUCAACUCCAGAACUGCCUUUGAUACUGAGAAGCUUGAGUCCGGGAGAGGUGAGUGGAACUGCGAGUGUAGAGGUGAAAUUCGUAGAUAUUCGCAAGAACACCAGUGGCGAAGGCGGCUCACUGGCCCGGUACUGACGCUGAGGUGCGAAAGCGUGGGGAGCAAACGGG
rnacentral:rRNA from 1 species